AGAGAAUUAUAUUAUAUGAACUGUUUUCUGAUCCAUUGCACUGGGUUACCUUCAGUUCUACUUUUGUAUUGUUUCAAAGGCCUUAAAAGAACUGCUCAAUUACUUAUUGAAAGCCCCUGGGUUACCUUACAAUUUGUGUGCUGUUGUUUUAAAAAUAUUUUGUUUAUUAUUGUAUUUUUUUGUGUGUUUUGUAUUUUUUAUAGUUCCAUUUAGUGUGCCAAAAAAUAUGAAAACUUGACGUUCGUGACGUCACAUACCAAACAAUGAUGUAAUUCAAUAAAUUGCGUCACGCCCGAAUGACCGUUCUAUUGGACCUAUUUUGAGGAAAAUUUUGCUUAAGCAAAAAAUAAAAAAGAACUGACUUUAUGUAAAAAAAAAAAGUAGGGGUGUGAUAAAGGGUA
rnacentral:lncRNA from 1 species